rnacentral:rRNA from 1 species
AGUGAACGCUGGCGGUAGGCCUAACACAUGCAAGUCGAACGGCAGCACAGUAAGAGCUUGCUCUUACGGGUGGCGAGUGGCGGACGGGUGAGGAAUACAUCGGAAUCUACUUUUUCGUGGGGGAUAACGUAGGGAAACUUACGCUAAUACCGCAUACGACCUACGGGUGAAAGCAGGGGAUCUUCGGACCUUGCGCGAUUGAAUGAGCCGAUGUCGGAUUAGCUAGUUGGCGGGGUAAAGGCCCACCAAGGCGACGAUCCGUAGCUGGUCUGAGAGGAUGAUCAGCCACACUGGAACUGAGACACGGUCCAGACUCCUACGGGAAGCAACAGUGGGGAAUAUUGGACAAUGGGCGCAAGCCUGAUCCAGCCAUACCGCGUGGGUGAAGAAGGCCUUCGGGUUGUAAAGCCCUUUUGUUGGGAAAGAAAAGCAGCAGGUUAAUACCCCGCUGUUCUGACGGUACCCAAAGAAUAAGCACCGGCUAACUUCGUG